AGUCAAUCAUGAUAAGAGGAAGUCUGGAAGAGAUUCGGAGAGUAGUCGAUCACUGUAGAAAAUCGCUGAUAGUGAAGUCUAGAGAGUAUUUGGAGCAGUCCGAUAGAUGACUGUAGGAGCUCAUUAUUGAAGAAGUCUAGAGGGUAUGAUAGGAGUUCAUCCAUUGGAGGAAUCUGGAGGACACUGUAGAAGGUCGACUGCUGAAGGAGUCCGGAUGGUACUGUGGAAGCUUAAACGACCGGGGGAGUUUAGAAGGACGCCGCACA
rnacentral:lncRNA from 1 species